CUUUCGGGAAUGGAAAUGAAAUGAAAGUGGCGAACGGGUGAGUAACACGUGAGCAACCUACCUUACACAGGGGGAUAGCCGUUGGAAACGACGAUUAAUACCGCAUGAGACCACAGAAUCGCAUGAUAUAGGGGUCAAAGAUUUAUCGGUGUAAGAAGGGCUCGCGUCUGAUUAGCUAGUUGGAAGGGUAAAGGCCUACCAAGGCGACGAUCAGUAGCCGGUCUGAGAGGAUGAACGGCCACAUUGGAACUGAGACACGGUCCAAACUCCUACGGGAGGCAGCAGUGGGGAAUAUUGCACAAUGGGGGGAACCCUGAUGCAGCGACGCCGCGUGAGCGAAGAAGGUUUUCGAAUCGUAAAGCUCUGUCCUAUGAGAAGAUAAUGACGGUAUCAUAGGAGGAAGCCCCGGCUAAAUACGUGCCAGCAGCCGCGGUAAUACGUAUGGGGCGAGCGUUGUCCGGAAUUAUUGGGCGUAAAGGGUACGUAGGCGGUUUUUUAAGUCAGGUGUGAAAGCGUGAGGCUUAACCUCAUUAAGCACUUGAAACUGGAAGACUUGAGUGAAGGAGAGGAAAGUGGAAUUCCUAGUGUAGCGGUGAAAUGCGUAGAUAUUAGGAGGAUACCGGUGGCGAAGCGACUUUCUGGACUUUUACU
rnacentral:rRNA from 1 species